UACGUAGGGUGCAAGCGUUGUCCGGAAUUAUUGGGCGUAAAGAGCUCGUAGGCGGUCUGUUGCGUCGGCUGUGAAAACCCGGGGCUCAACCCCGGGCCUGCAGCCGAUACGGGCAGACUAGAGUUCGGCAGGGGAGACUGGAAUUCCGGGUGUAGCGGUGGAAUGCGUAGAGAUCCGGAGGAAGACCGGUGGCGAAGGCGGCCUGCUGGGCAGUUACUGACACUGAGGCGCGACAGCGUGGGGAGCAAACAGG
rnacentral:rRNA from 1 species